rnacentral:rRNA from 1 species
UACGUAGGGGGCAAGCGUUGUCCGGAAUUAUUGGGCGUAAAGAGCGUGUAGGCGGCCAGAUAAGUCCGCUGUGAAAUCUCGAGGCUCAACUUCGAGCUGUCGGUGGAAACGAUCUGGCUAGAGUCCGGAAGAGGAGAAUGGAAUUCCUGGUGUAGCGGUGAAAUGCGCAGAUAUCAGGAAGAACACCCGUGGCGAAGGCGGUUCUCUGGGACGGUACUGACGCUGAGACGCGAAAGCGUGGGGAGCGAACAGG